rnacentral:rRNA from 1 species
UCUGGUAAUGAUGGCAGAGAGGUCACACCCGUUCCCAUACCGAACACGGAAGUUAAGCUCUCUAGCGCCGAUGGUAGUUGGGACCUUGUCCCUGUGAGAGUAGGACGUUGCCAGGCAAA